GGGGAUGUAGCUGAGUGGUACAGUAUAUGCUCAGCAUGUAUAAGGCCCUGGGUUCAAUCCCCAAUAUCUCUC
rnacentral:tRNA from 1 species